UACAGAGGGGGCAAGCGUUGUUCGGAAUUACUGGGCGUAAAGGGCGCGUAGGCGGCCUGCUAAGUCGAACGUGAAAUCCCCGAGCUCAACUCGGGAACUGCGUCCGAUACUGACAGGCUUGAAUCCGGGAGAGGGAUGCGGAAUUCCAGGUGUAGCGGUGAAAUGCGUAGAUAUCUGGAGGAACACCGGUGGCGAAGGCGGCAUCCUGGACCGGCAUUGACGCUGAGGCGCGAAAGCUAGGGGAGCGAACGGG
rnacentral:rRNA from 1 species